GAGAAGAACGUAGCGAAAUGCGAUAAGUAAUGUGAAUUGCAGAAUUCAGUGAAUCAUCGAAUCUUUGAACGCAUCUUGCGCUCCUUGGUAUUCCGAGGAGCAUGCCUGUUUGAGUGUCAUUUAACUUCUCAACCACAUUGGAUAUUUUUUUUCCGAUGCCGGCUUGGAUGUGGGGGUUGUUUGCAGGCUUUUUGUAACAAAAAAGGUCGGCUCCCCUGAAAUGUAUUAGUGGUAUCUGAGGCUAUUACUAUUAGGUGUGAUAAUUAUCUAUGCCUUUUGGGUAUGCCGCAUGAACAGAUUAUGCUGCUUCUAACGAAAACUAUUUUGAUGAAUUUGACCUCAAAUCAGGUAGGACUACCCGCUGAACUUAAGCAUAUCAAUAAGCGGAGGA
rnacentral:misc_RNA from 1 species